CACUCAUCACUCAACUCCAAGGCUUCAGGAGCCAAAUACGGCGCGGAGCAACGAGACACCGCGACCAGAAAUAACCGGGACAGCCUUCAUAAGAGCAGAGGUCCGAGCGCGCGCACACUCCCUCAGCAGAAGACACUAAGAUACAGUUUAGACUACAGUGUCCAGAGCCGCACCGAUCUUUGUGCGAUUUCGCGAAGAUGGUGGUCUUUAAAGGGUUUGAGCGCAAGAUUUCCCCAAAAAGGAAUGCAUAUCCUGACGCAGAAACGUUAUUCUCCGAGGAGUUGCCACCUAAAUGAUAGUGCCCAGAAUAAGGGCCGAAGGUCACCUUUAAGUCGCUUCUGGAAGCAGGUGAGGAAAAAAAAACCGCAUCGCUGCCUUUCACGGAGACGCGCGGCGCCAACUCGGGCUCGGGGACCGUGGAAUAUGUGACUGUGUGUGGAUGUGACUAUGUGAAUAUGUGUGGAAUAAUCGGAUCGACGGGAUGGACGCACGGCGUAACGUGUAUGUGUCUCGCCGGAGCACCGGCCUCGCGCGUAAAGCGCGCGUCUCCAAAAGCGCACCGGAUUAUUGCGCGCGCGCGAUCUAACGAUUACGGCAAAAAAAAAAAAAAAAAAAAAAAAAAAUCUGUGGGUUAAUUCGGAAAAUAUGCUUUGUGUGCAGCCCGUCUGAUAUCGUACGAGCGCUUUGGGUGAGAAAAAGCGCGUAAAAUGCAUUAUUAUUAUUAUUAUUAAAAAUAUAUGUACAGUUGCACGUGCAUAACAGAUUGGCAGUUAAACAGAAAAUACAUUUUAUUAUUAUUAAAAAAUAUAUACAGUUGCACAUGCAUAACAGAUUGGCAGUUAAA